GUUGGAGGUGGGCCCAGGGUUAGAGAGAGCAGCAUAUCCAGGCAGGGGGUUAGGAACAGGGCAGCUGGUUUUGAACCAACCCCAGCAGAGCGGAGGACGAGGAGGAACAUGGCUGCACGUAUAAGAACAAAAUAGGAAGCUGUCACCUUGCUAGACAAAUCUGAGUAUGGAUCGGACACCUCUGAUCCAAUCUGCAUACAUAGGAAAACAGAUACUUUUCAAAGUUGCUGGAGCCUAGCUGUCACUACAACUUUCUAGAGACCAGGAUUGUUUUCUCUUCUUCCCCGUCACCCAAAUAAAAGUAAAUACAGAAGUGAGUUUCCUUAUUUACCUGAUCUGGUCCCGGUUUGAGGGAGAAGAGAUGCUGCCCAUGGGAAAGGAUGAUGCUGCACAAUGGAAGAAUUCAAAAUGGACAGGAAGUCCUCAGACUUUGGGGGGCGGGGGGAGGAGUAAAGCCUUCAACUGGAGUUAGGUGUAACAUUUCUCUGACUCCCACUACAACUGCUCUCUGUAAUAAGUUUCAAUUAGGAGUAAAGUAUCUCCUUGCUAUGAGCAAUACCAAAUGAUUAAAGGUUUCAGCUUAUUAAACAGUCUACUGCAAACUGAAGGCUAUAAAAAACAGAAUUAAAAUGAAAUUUCAAGCUAACAGCUGGUAUAAUUUCUGUAAUCCUCAACCAAAACCAAGCUAUCUUCAA